rnacentral:rRNA from 1 species
GACGAACGCUGGCGGCGUGCUUAACACAUGCAAGUCGAGCGGUAAGGCCCUUUCGGGGGGUACACGAGCGGCGAACGGGUGAGUAACACGUGGGUGACCUGCCCUUAGCUCUGGGAUAAGCCUGGGAAACUGGGUCUAAUACCGGAUAUGACCUCAUGACUCAUGUUGUGGGGUGGAAAGCCUUGUGCGGCUAGGGAUGGGCCCGCGGCCUAUCAGCUUGUUGGUGGGGUAAUUGCCUACCAAGGCGACGACGGGUAGCCGGCCUGAGAGGGCGACCGGCCACACUGGGACUGAGACACGGCCCAGACUCCUACGGGAGGCAGCAGUGGGGAAUCUUGCGCAAUGGGCGAAAGCCUGACGCAGCGACGCCGCGUGAGGGAUGACGGCCU